rnacentral:pre_miRNA from 1 species
AAACUACUUCCUCCGUUCGGAAUUACUUGUCUCGGAAAUGGAUGUAUCUAGAACUAAAAUACGUCUAGAUACAUCCAUUUCUGUGACAAGUAAUUCCGAACGGAGGGAGUAGAAU